CCUUAUAGUGGGGGAUAGCCUUUCGAAAGGAAGAUUAAUACCGCAUAAGAUUGUAGUAUCGCAUGAUAUAGCAAUUAAAGGAGCAAUUCGCUAUAAGAUGGACCCGCGUCGCAUUAGCUAGUUGGUGAGGUAAUGGCUCACCAAGGCGACGAUGCGUAGCCGACCUGAGAGGGUGAUCGGCCACAUUGGGACUGAGACACGGCCCAGACUCCUACGGGAGGCAGCAUG
rnacentral:rRNA from 1 species